CUCCACAGAACUUUAUCUUUACAGAUUUACAUCUUUCUUUUACAGGCACUGUAUCAACUGUCUAUGAACAUCAAUCUUGACAAGAAUACAAGGACUGUCAUUACUUCAGACCAACAAGAAAGGCAAAGAGAACUAUAGCAUUGUCCAGAGUACCACCAGAACUCACUAUGUAACGCCUCCUCUGUUCUAGUUUUAAAUAUUCUCACAUGGACGUUUACAAUAACAAUAUAAUCAGUUAAUAAAACUAUAAUACGUCAUCGGUGACGUCUUCAAAUCUGAAAACACAAAAGCAUAAAUUAAAUCUAAUAUCACCUUGAAAUUAGUGGUGCUAAAAGUAUAAAAACUUUUCCGUUUGAUCUACAUCCCUUAACAAGGAAUGGACGCUCAGGGACUGCUUACUAAAAACAGAUUCCUUUUGUUAUUUUUUUAAAUUGGUAAAAACAAUAUAUAUAUAUAUAUAUAUAUAUAUAAACACAAACCAACAUGCAUAAGUUUAUGUUACGUCCGAAAUAUUUUGGCAUGUUUGUAAAUUUUUUUAUAAGUAGUUUUCAAUUCAAAUGUUGCUAAACUUUCAAGCACAACAAAUUCUCUAUAAGGAUCCUUGAAACAAAAAAGUCUUGGUCUAAAAAUACAAGUUAAUAAAAAUUCAUUAUAAGCCUUUGCAGCUUGAGUGAUUUCAAAUCUGAAAAGCAAACUUUUUGUCACGUGACACAGAAUACAUAGCCUAUAUAUAUGACAGAAAAGGAGAUAAGCAAGUUUAUUUCUACAACCAAUUUUCUGGAGAGAUUCUCUCAACUGUCUUAGUUACUUUCAGGUUUCAUCAUUUAAAAAAAAAACAUGACUCAAAGAAUGCUCUAUGUUGCACUUGUCCUGGGAUUGUUGGGUCAAGUUGUCUCUGAAGACGCAGAGACCGCUCUUGCAUCUACAAGUCUACAAUGUCAAUCACGAGUUGCAGGUUGUAAAGCCUCAAAUAACAAUGUACUAAGUUUGUACACGUCUUCAAAAUAUUGUGAAGCCAUUAAAUACUCAACACCAAGUUUUGCUUCUCUGACUUGCUUGGUUGUAGACAGCGGCUGCACUCUGACCGAGUACUUCAGAAUGAGAAAUGCUGCUUGUGGAACAAGUUCAACAACUGGUCUGGAUACUGCCGAAAACGUUGGCAUCGCUCUUGUAUCAAGUAGUCAGCAAUGUAGAUCGAAAGUUUCAAGCUGUAUAUCCUUGGACACCACAGUAAAAAAUUUGUACGCGUCUUCCAAAUAUUGUGAAGCCUUGCAAUAUUCAGCAUCCAGUGUUACCGCUCAAUCUUGUCUGGUAGGAAGCAGCGGCUGUACCCAGAGCGAGUACGACAGCUUGAAGCGAGCCGCGUGUACAGCAAGUUCUUUGAUAGUUGGAACUUUAUCUAUGUUUUUAUGUUCCCUUAUUUAUCUAUUUACAAAUUUCUUUUGAAAUGCCUUAAAAGUACGCUGUAUUCUUUCUAAAAAAUAGACAUUGUAGAAAUUAGGAUGAAAACUACUUAUGUUUAAUUAGUCUUUCCUUCUAAACAUAAACGAACAAAAUAGGAUACAUGGUUGAUGAUGCAAACAGAUAAUGUGUUUUGUUUUAACAUUGUAUUUUGUAAGGACAUCUUAUUUAAAUAUCACGGUUAAAAAAAACACAAAACUAUUUUUUUUUAUAUUCCCAGACAUUGUUCAUCAUAUGAAAACAUAUAGAAAUGAGUUGAACAACUCAAAAGUUAAGUAUUUAACCUAUCGCCGAAUUUAUUUGUAACUGUAACUUCGUUUGACCCGUAUAUCUCUUCAUAUUAUUAUUUCAUAUGUACUCACUAACUUUCAUACUAUAAGGGACAGUCCUGACAGGAACACGAACAAUGUACUCUCCGAUUCGACAACUUAUCUCACUUAAACUGUCUUUUUGUAUUCAACAUGUAUGUAUAUGUUCUAAAUAAAUUAUUAAUGAAAAUUUUA